AGUAUAGGAUACAAUUUUGAAAAUAUGCAAGUUUUGCAUAAUUUAUAUCGGAUGCUUCCAAUAUUUUUAAACAAUGAUCUGGUCACGGAUGAAAUAGAUCACUUGUUCAUGGUUUUUUUCCCUCGGGAAAUAAUCAGUCUUUAUCGAAAUGUAUAUGAAGACAAAAUGGGAUUUACAACUGGCACGUUUGAACAUCCUAAAGGUUUGCAUUUGGAGGUGAAAAAUUGCGGAUAUCGUUUGGUAUUUAAGGAGGAUCUUCAACAAUUAAACUUAAACAUGAUGUUCAGCGAAAAUUCCUCAUCUAAGAAGUGCAAGCUUUUAUCAAGUGAUUCGCCAUACAUCAUUCAUUGAGCUUAUUCACGGAAAGAGUAGAGAUUUCUUUUCAACCACAAUUACAUCAAAUAAAUUCUUACCCAUUGUAGGGCUUGAACUACCAGUGCCACCAAUCUUCACUUUUGGAGAAAAAUGAGUUGAAUGAUUGAAGGCUGGUUCAAACUUAUUUCAGCUAUUGGAUUGCAGUCAGUUAUAGCUGCUCUUCGGGAUGGAUUCAAAGACUCCACUCUGAGGCAUCACUCUCGCGUACACACAAGGCUAGCACUGUCAAACAAUUAAAGG